rnacentral:rRNA from 1 species
CACGUAGGGUGCGAGCGUUGUCCGGAAUUAUUGGGCGUGAAGAGCUCGUAGGUGGUUUGUCGCGUUGUUCGUGAAAACUCACAGCUCAACUGUGGGCGUGCGGGCGAUACGGGCAGACUUGAGUACUGCAGGGGAGACUGGAAUUCCUGGUGUAGCGGUGGAAUGCGCAGAUAUCAGGAGGAACACCGGUGGCGAAGGCGGGUCUCUGGGCAGUAACUGACGCUGAGGAGCGAAAGCGUGGGGAGCGAACAGG